GAUGAAGAACGUAGCGAAAUGCGAUAAGUAGUGUGAAUUGCAGAAUUCAGUGAAUCAUCGAAUCUUUGAACGCAUCUUGCGCUCCUUGGUAUUCUGAGGAGCAUGCCUGUUUGAGUGUCAUUAAAUUCUCAACUACACUGACUUUGAAUUGGUGUGGCUUGGAUUUGGGGGGAAAAUUGUUGUGGGCUUUUUGUAUAGUCUGCUCCCCUGAAAUUGAUUAGCGGUACCUUUGUGGAACUGUCUACAGGUGUGAUAAUUAUCUACAUCUUAGACAUCUGCUGGAAUGCUGCUCUCUAAACCUUACUUGUAUUGACAAUCUUGACCUCAAAUCAGGUAGGACUACCCGCUGAACUUAAGCAUAUCAAUAAGCGGAGGA
rnacentral:misc_RNA from 1 species